GGUUUGUGGCUCAGUGGUAGAGUGUUUGCCUGGCACGUGUGGGGCCCUGGGUUCUAUCCCCAGCACCA
rnacentral:tRNA from 1 species